rnacentral:lncRNA from 1 species
CUAGAACCACUGAGCAGCAGUGGAAGUGGCUGGGACCCUGAGAACCGGAAUUGUGGCGAGCCAGAAUAAUUUGAAAAUGACCACGCCAAACAAGACACCUCCUGGUGCUGACCCUAAGCAGUUGGAGAGGACAGCAACAGUGAGGGAAAUUGGGUCUCAGGCUGUCUGGUCACUCUCUUCCUGCAAACCAGGGUUUGGAGUGGAUCAAUUACGAGAUGACAAUCUAGAGACUUACUGGCAAUCCGAUGGCUCUCAGCCUCAUUUAGUGAACAUCCAAUUCAGCAACUCGAAUUGGUGGAGCCAAGUGGCUGGAUUCACGUUCCUUUAACUGACAACCAUAAGAAGCCAACGCGCACAUUCAUGAUACAGAUUGCUGUUCUGGCCAAUCACCAGAACGGAAGGGAUACCCACAUGAGACAGAUUAAAAUAUACACGCCAGUGGAAGAGAGCUCCAUUGGGAAAUUCCCUAGAUGCACCACCAUCGAUUUCAUGAUGUAUCGUUCAAUACGGUGACUUCCAAAUGUACAGAAGGGAACGGACAUUUGGUUUAUCCUAUCAUCACAUAGUACAUCAAGUAUCUUUGGUGAAAAAGCAUGUUACUUUGUAAUUUUACAUACAUUUAAAAAUAAUUUAGAUAAAUAACUUUUAGGUCAUGUCUUUUUUAUAUAAUAAAGCUCAUUUAUUUUAUGUUGCUAAAAAUGAAUUUGAAGCCAAUUUUUACAUUUUUCUUUAUAUUAAAAGAAAACUAAUUAAACUGAAAUUUUCAAGAUGUAUAAAGUAUUUUUUUACCAGCAUGGUAGUUAUUUCACAGAAUGGUUGUUGGACAUUGGGAACAAAACUGUUUUCCUAGUGUCUGUGUAACUUUCAAUGACAGUGAUGACGUGGAAAGUUAAAGGUACUUUGGAAAAUUAGCUGAAUGGUGUUUUCUGGGGCAAACACAUGAAGGGAGUGUUUUCCUGAAGCAGACACAGGAGAA